rnacentral:rRNA from 1 species
UGGGGAAUCUUAGACAAUGGGGGAAACCCUGAUCUAGCCAUGCCGCGUGGACGAUGAAGGCCUUAGGGUUGUAAAGUCCUUUCAGCUGGGAAGAUAAUGACGGUACCAGCAGAAGAAGCCCCGGCUAACUCCGUGCCAGCAGCCGCGGUAAUACGGAGGGGGCUAGCGUUGUUCGGAAUUACUGGGCGUAAAGCGCACGUAGGCGGACUGAAAAGUUGGAGGUGAAAUCCCAGGGCUCAACCUUGGAACUGCCUUCAAAACUAUCAGUCUGGAGUUCGAGAGAGGUGAGUGGAAUUCCGAGUGUAGAGGUGAAAUUCGUAGAUAUUCGGAGGAACACCAGUGGCGAAGGCGGCUCACUGGCUCGAUACUGACGCUGAGGUGCGAAAGCGUGGGGAGCAAACAGG